AAAACGGCCCUUUUUAGGGCCACCAAAUUCUAUGAGAUUAAACGCUU
rfam:Tropilaelaps mercedesae isolate Wuxi-XJTLT scaffold0000033335, whole genome shotgun sequence.